rnacentral:lncRNA from 1 species
UUCUUUUGCAUUACACAUUGCAUACAUAGAAACGAGCUUCUAUGCUUCCAGUGACUUAAACGCAUCAAUUUAUUCAAUUUAAGCUAGAAUGACUAGAGAAACAAAAUCAUUUUCAGGCAUCAAGUUUGAUGGGAGGAGCCUUGGGAGAGAAGGGCAAUCCUGGUUGCAUCUCAUUAUCUGCUCCACAGCAUGUUACACAGACCGGCCUAGUCCGAACCACACUGCAUAUGCAACAUUUGGUUUGGCAUUGACCGUCACAUCCUGUAGCCCAAAUGAUACAAUCAGUUUCAUGAACUAAUUAGGAAUAUCUAUAACAUGCUGAACAAAAACUCAAAAAUUACAUACCAUUACCCGAAGGUUGAUUGUCAACACUCGGUGAAGACAAGGUUGCUUCAGUGUGCAGGAGUCCGGUUGUGAGCAACACCAAGAACAAGCAAAGAAGGAUUCUUGAAGAUGAUGACAUUUUGUAGUGGGGAAUUGUGAAAUUAUGAGGUUUUUGUUUCCUGUCUUUUGGGUUUUG